rnacentral:tRNA from 1 species
UUGUUUGAGGCCAUUCGGCUUGUUAUUGUUAAUAACAGAGAGGGACUUUCCCCAAAUAAU